GAAAUUUGAGCUAAGUACCGGAUGAUGUCUUCGGACCAAAGAUUUAUCGCCUUUAGAUGGGGCCCGCGUUGGAUUAGCUAGUUGGUGGGGUAAAGGCCUACCAAGGCGACGAUCCAUAGCUGGUCUGAGAGGAUGAUCAGCCACACUGGGACUGAGACACGGCCCAGACUCCUACGGGAGGCAGCAGUGGGGAAUAUUGGGAACAAUGGGCGAAAGCCUGAUCCAGCAAUGCCGCGUGAGUGAUGAAGGCCUUAGGGUUGUAAAGCUCUUUUACCCGAGAUGAUAAUGACAGUAUCGGGAGAAUAAGCUCCGGCUAACUCCGUG
rnacentral:rRNA from 1 species